CCCGUCGUGAUCCUUCUUCUCUCUCCGUCGUGAUCCUUCUUUUCUCUCCGUCGAGAUCCAUAGUCUAUCUCUCCGUCGGAUCCAUCGUCUCUCUCUCCGAGAUCCAUCGUCUCUAUUUCCGUUGGAUCCAUCGUCUUUCUCUCCGUCGAGAUCCAUCUCUCUCUCCGUCGAGAAUCAUCGUCAAAACCUCUUGCAUCAGAUCAUCUUUGAUCACUCACAGAGUUUUCUUGUGGAAUCUACAAGUGGGAACACAGGGAUUGGUCUUGCUUUCAUUGCUGCGUCGAAAGGAUAUAAAUGCCUGCCUCCAUGAGUCUGGAAAGAAGGGUUCUUUUGAGGGCGUUUGGAGCCGAGCUUGUGUUAACUGAACCUGCUAAAGGCAUGACUGGAGCUAUUCAGAAGGCUGAAGAGAUCUUGAAGAACACUCCCAACUCCUACAUGCUCCAACAGUUUGACAACCCACCCAAUCCCAAGAGUCAUGUUAUUGGAACCGUACAUGGAGAGUUUGAGUGAGAGAAUAGGAGUUAUAAGUGUAUUGCUCAGAAAAAGAUUUGGUCUCGGUUCAGUGGCCGUAAGGAAGAAGGUCGUGGCUCGAUGGUGGUUCAAGCGCUGAGUGCAGCCACAGCAAGUGGUUGCUCAGCUUUGAUAACUAUGCCGGUAGACACAAUCAAGACGAGGCUUCAGGUUUUAGACACGGAGGAGAACGGGAGGAGACGAGCAAUGACAGUGAUGCCGACGGUGAAGAGCUUGAUGAAGGAAGGAGGUGGGUUCGGGGCUUGUUACAGAGGGCUAGGACCAAGGUGGGUCUCAAUGUCAAUGUCUGCAACAACCAUGAUCACAACCUAUGCGUUCUUGAAGCGUCUGUCCACAAAGAAGCAGAGAUGAUAUAAAGUUAUAUAAACCAUUUAUAGUCUUAAGUUUCUCUGUUUCUUGUGUUGAAAUGAAGAAACACAAUGGCAAAAAAAAAUGUUUAUACUCUCUAAUAAACAAACAUAAAACA